AUGGAAAAUUGCACACUGUACUCUGAAUACAGCCAAGUGGAUGAAAGGAAGCUGAGAGGAAGGAUGAAACUGGAGCGAACAACUCAAUCAAAUGUCUCAUUUACUUGGGAAAGCUCUUUGUGUGUUUCAACUUCUCCCAGGAUUACUCAGCAGCUACUCUUCAUGCUUGUGUGUUAUCAGUAUUUAGCACUGGGAAGUCUGAACAGUCGUUACACAGCUGCAGGGGUCAGGACUUCAGAAGAUGUUGGAAAUCAUUGACAGCCGUCUUGAAGGACACCAGCUGAGACUGGAACUACUCAGGGCCAGCCUGAAAACCCAUAAUCAUACCUUUGUUACUUUGUGCCAGUUUGAAGAGAGAAACUGCUAUCAAAUCCCCUAGAGAGAUGCUG
rnacentral:lncRNA from 1 species